ACCUGGACUCACAGGUUGUCUCAGCGACGGGAGAAAACCCGCGCAAGGCAAACAGGUCCUUUUCUGCUGUAUUAACGAGUUAAUUUAGGUCUUAGGAACCCCAUAGCCAACACAAAGGAGGCAACGGGAACCUCUCCUUUGAGUGGGGAUGGGGACAGGGACAAGCAGGGGGUAGUAGUGUGAAAAAUAGUACCCGUGUCAAUUAGAGAAUGGCAAAGCAGAAUGUAAGAAUAUGAGAAUGUGUCACUAGGAGAAUGGCAGGGCAGAGUGUGUUGGAGCUAACUAAGCUGGAGACGUUGGAACCUACGAGCGAUAACAGAAAGCACUGUGAAGAGAUAGCCCCCUGUGAAUAGGGGACAUGAACAAAACAGGGGGUGCAGAGCUAACUGAGCAAGGCUAGGGAUGAACGACAGCAGAAAACGCCAUGAGCGUGGCAGGUAAGAGACCGUAAAGCAGGCGACUGUGAAGACGCAAAUAGCCGAGUCACAAAGACACCUGAGGAAGACUCGUUCCUUCAGCCUCACGGCCACCAGAGAGACCCCCAGGAGGAUUAGCAGGCAUGCACAACAGCUCCAGGCUCUCAAGAUUGAGUUGACAUUCCCAUCCUCCCGUACCAAUCCUCUGCAUUUUGGGACUCCUUAAAUAUGGGCAUUUGAAGAGGAAAUGAGCUGCUCCACUGCCAGCUGCAGCUGCUGUUAUUGCCUGAGGAACAGCAAAAGAUGAGCUAGCACUGAUGAACCACUACUACUUUUAGACCUGCACCUACAACAAGAUCCUACAUAGUUUACUCUGCUGCUCACAGAGCUGCAGCAGGGUCAGUAAAGCAGUGGAUGUUUAAGACAGGUGAUGUUAUAACCCCUGAACCAAGGCAAUAUUCUGCUGCAAGUAACACCUGCUGACAGCCUUAACUGGCAACCAGGCUGCAUCUCAAGUAAUUUCUAUCUGAUUUCCUGGCAGGAUGGAAAAGGAAGGAAUGGAGCCCCUUUCUCCCUUCUGACUGGGAGCACCUCACAAACGAAGGAACUGCUUCAUCAGGGGAAAGUAUCCAUGGCCAUUCUACAGCCCUGACAGCAUCAGCCCCGAUUGCUCAUCUGUUUCCAAGUACGUCCGAGUCAUUUCGGUGGUGGGCAGAAAGUCAGGGACACUCUGCAUCCAGCACCCUGCAACGGAAGAAGCAUUACUCCUGCUGCUGUUAGCCUUGUUAUUUUCGUCUAAUAAAAAGGUGGUCAUGAGUCACUCAAUUUAGAAACAAAAGAGAGCUGUAAUCUACUGAAAGGCAGUUGUUUGGAUGCUCAGCAUUAGGUGUCUAAGAGGAAGGUCAGUUGCAGGUCAGGUCUGGGGGUGUACACUCUGCCACCAGUACAGGCCAAGCUUAGGGUAUUCCCCAGAGAGCUGAUUUUCUGGGCUGGUAUGUUUUGCCCCUCUUUCAGACUAGCACUUCAACCAGGAGGAGUGGUGGAGGGGAAAGCUCUCUUUCCCACCCCUCCACAUUUCACUUGGGUUUCCUGAGAGGAAAUUAUGCUCUCGUGUGACUGUGCUGACCCCCUCCUUCCUCCCGGGAGCAAGGAGUGGACCAGCAUCUGCCGACAGCCCCCCUUCCCCUCCCUGUGCCGCGCUGGGACCAGUUCAUCAGCCAGGCUGUUGCCGCGGUCAGACUCGGGGGGAGCCAGGCUGCUUCUCUGGGAGAAGGAAGCAGCUCCUCAGGCUGAGGGCUGUGAAGCAGAAAAGGCAAGGUCGUGCCCAGGUGCUGCUGAGGUUUCCUGUGGAAGUGGGUAGGAAUAAGGCACUGUGCCCCCGUCUGUGCCAGAGUCCCCAUCUAGUGAUAAAAAGAGGGGAGGAAUCACCCUGCCCAGAGGGUGACAUGAAAUUUGUCAGUAUUGCUGUGGCAAUGAUGUCCCUCAUGGUGAGGACCCUAUUCUGGCACGGAUCACG